UAUGUACUCCCUCCGUCCGAAAAAACUUGUCCCAAGCUUGUCCCUCAAAUGGAUGUAUCUAGCACUAACUUGGUGGUAGAUACAUCCAUUUGAGGGACAAGCUUUUCCGGACGGAGGGAGUAUGCU
rfam:Triticum aestivum genome assembly, contig: Triticum_aestivum_CS42_TGACv1_scaffold_179614_2DS